rnacentral:lncRNA from 10 species
CCAGAAGAUAGAGAACUUCUGCUUCUUCUCAUUUGUUAUUCUGUUUCUGUUGAUACUUGCUUCAAUUACUGACUAUAAGAAGAUAGAAUCCAGUGCAUUCUACACAAUAUGAAUGAAUAAGAGAGUGAAGAAAGUUGCUCAGUGAAUCUGCUACAGGUAACCUUGCUCCUCUGAUUCCUCGGGACUCGAUAUUUCAGUCUGUUAUUAAAGACAGAUUUUCGUGUUACAAGAACUCUGCCUUGAGGCUGUGCGCAACUUGAGUACAGGGUUAAAAACUAUAGAAUUAUGUUUCUAGGUGUUUUCAAAGUGAACUGAAUUCUCAAGGUAAAUUCAGUUUCGUGGGUUUAAGGUGGAUCAGUUGUUGUGGUUGGCAUCGUGGAGCAUGCUACAGUGGAGAAGAAGGUCUUGAAG